UUUUUUUUUCUGUUUUUUUAGAAAAAAACUUGAAAAGAUGGUGUUCAUAAGUUGGACCGACGGAGCAAAGUGCGCAUCGCAGAGGACAAAAACCAUGGGCGAAUCUGCUUUUAGGUGCCUUCUUUGGACAAAGGCCAACCAUCGGGCCAUGUAAUACAAAGAAGGCAGCGUCACAUGUUUGUCAAAAAAAAAAAGCAGCGUCACAUGAUUUCAGAUCACAGGCUGUACGUUAAGUAUCCACCAAAAGCAGCCCUCACUUCCGCAAAACAAUACUUCCUCCGUUCCAAUUUAAACUAAAACCACGACAAAAAUUAUAAAACAAAGGCACUAAUAACAAAACGCAAAGCAGACAAGCAGAAAUACCAUUCUGCACCCGGGCUCAAAUACAUCUGAUGUGAACCGUAAAAUCAAAAAAUAGUAAAAAAUUCUUUUUUAGCAUACUUUAAGAAAUGUUUAUUGUGCAUAUAAAAUUUCAUGAUGAAAUCACAUCGAUGGAAGUCAUGGCAAAAAAAAACAGAGCUCCAAAAUGCAUUUGAAAGUAACAUUUUCAGAGCAUUGAUUUUGUCUUUUUUUACCACGCCUUCUACCAAUGUGAUUUCGUGAUGAAUUUGUGCAUACACAACAAACAUUCCUUAAAUUUUACCACAAAAAAAUUCAGAAUUUUUAAAUUUAAUUCCUAUUUUUUGAAUAUACUGUUCACCCAGGAGACAAGUUGCUUGUCCUCGGGACAGAAACAUGACUGCCAGUAAUACUCCCGAGGCGGAUUUUGCCGAGGGAGCAUAUGACCAAACUUGCAUUAGACUACAUACAGGAAAAGGCGGCAGGACGAGAUACACAUUAUUCCCUGAUUUCAACACAGGACAGUAUCCAAAAUGCACCAACUUAAAAUCAUUCCUAGGCAAUGAAAGGAAUGCCCUCUCAGGUACAACCAACGAAUUGAUUCGAGUUAUGCUACAACACAGAGACAACACGCGGGCAAGAAGACAACAGGCUGGGCCUACGCUUCCAUCCAUCCAUGUACAAGAGAGCAGAUGUCGGCGCGCAGCUGACGGGGUCGACAACACCAUCA
rnacentral:lncRNA from 1 species